UNCCAUGUAGGACUCAUUCAGCCUGGAC
rnacentral:piRNA from 1 species